rnacentral:rRNA from 1 species
GAUGAACGCUGGCGGCGUGCCUAAUACAUGCAAGUCGAGCGAACGGACGAGAAGCUUGCUUCUCUGAUGUUAGCGGCGGACGGGUGAGUAACGCGUGGAUAACCUACCUAUAAGACUGGGAUAACUUCGGGAAACCGGAGCUAAUACCGGAUAAUAUUUUGAACCGCAUGGUUCAAAAGUGAAAGACGGUCUUGCUGUCACUUAUAGAUGGAUCCGCGCUGCAUUAGCUAGUUGGUAAGGUAACGGCUUACCAAGGCAACGAUGCAUAGCCGACCUGAGAGGGUGAUCGGCCACACUGGAACUGAGACACGGUCCAGACUCCUACGGGAGGCAGCAGUAGGGAAUCUUCCGCAAUGGGCGAAAGCCUGACGGAGCAACGCCGCGUGAGUGAUGAAGGUCUUCGGAUCGUAAAACUCUGUUAUUAGGGAAGGACAUAUGUGUAAGUAACUGUGCACAUCUUGACGGUACCUAAUCAGAAAGCCACGGCUAACUACGUG